rnacentral:rRNA from 1 species
UACGUAGGCAGCGAGCGUUGUUCGGAGUUACUGGGCGUAAAGGGUGUGUAGGCGGUUUGGUAAGUCUGGUGUGAAAUCUCCCGGCUCAACUGGGAGGGUGCGCCGGAAACUGCCGGACUAGAGUGCGGGAGAGGAGAGUGGAAUUCCUGGUGUAGCGGUGAAAUGCGUAGAUAUCAGGAGGAACACCAAUGGCGAAGGCAGCUCGCUGGGACGGUACUGACGCUGAGGCGCGAAAGCGUGGGGAGCAAACAGG